rnacentral:rRNA from 1 species
AACGAACGCUGGCGGCAGGCUUAACACAUGCAAGUCGAACGCCCCGCAAGGGGAGUGGCAGACGGGUGAGUAACGCGUGGGAACAUACCCUUUCCUGCGGAAUAGCUCCGGGAAACUGGAAUUAAUACCGCAUACGCCCUACGGGGGAAAGAUUUAUCGGGGAAGGAUUGGCCCGCGUUGGAUUAGCUAGUUGGUGGGGUAAAGGCCUACCAAGGCGACGAUCCAUAGCUGGUCUGAGAGGAUGAUCAGCCACAUUGGGACUGAGACACGGCCCAAACUCCUACGGGAGGCAGCAGUGGGGAAUAUUGGACAAUGGGCGCAAGCCUGAUCCAGCCAUGCCGCGUGAGUGAUGAAGGCCUUAGGGUUGUAAAGCUUUUUCACCGAUGAAGAUAAUGACGGUAGUCGGAGUAGAAGCCCCGGCUAACUUCGUGCCAGCAGCCGCAGUAAAAC